AUUGAACGCUGGCGGCAGGCCUAACACAUGCAAGUCGAACGGUAACAGGAAGCAGCUUGCUGCUUCGCUGACGAGUGGCGGACGGGUGAGUAAUGUCUGGGAAACUGCCUGAUGGAGGGGGAUAACUACUGGAAACGGUAGCUAAUACCGCAUAACGUCGCAAGACCAAAGAGGGGGACCUUAGGGCCUCUUGCCAUCGGAUGUGCCCAGAUGGGAUUAGCUAGUAGGUGGGGUAACGGCUCACCUAGGCGACGAUCCCUAGCUGGUCUGAGAGGAUGACCAGCCACACUGGAACUGAGACACGGUCCAGACUCCUACGGGAGGCAGCAGUGGGGAAUAUUGCACAAUGGGCGCAAGCCUGAUGCAGCCAUGCCGCGUGUAUGAAGAAGGCCUUCGGGUUGUAAAGUACUUUCAGCGGGGAGGAAGGGAGUAAAGUUAAUACCUUUGCUCAUUGACGUUACCCGCAGAAGAAGCACCGGCUAACUCCGUGCCAGCAGCCGCGGUAAUACGGAGGGUGCAAGCGUUAAUCGGAAUUACUGGGCGUAAAGCGCACGCAGGCGGUUUGUUAAGUCAGAUGUGAAAUCCCCGGGCUCAACCUGGGGAACUGCAUCUGAUACUGGCAAGCUUGAGUCUCGUAGAGGGGGGUAGAAUUCCAGGUGUAGCGGUGAAAUGCGUAAGAUCUGGGAGGAAUACCCGGUGGCCAAGGCGGCCCCCUGGACCAAGACUGACGCUCAGGUGCGAAAGCGUGGGGAAGCAAACAGGAUCAGAUACCCUGGGAGCUCCAUGGGCGGAAUUCCCAUACGGGAACUUUAUCUUAUCCGGUUCGUCUUUCUCGUUGGGGGGGGCCUGUUACCCGGCUUUUUGUUCCCUUUAAUGAGGUUUAGUCUACCGUCUCCGCACUAUUCCACCCCCCCCCUCU
rnacentral:rRNA from 1 species